GUAGGGAGCAAGCGUUAUCCGGAUUUAUUGGGUGUAAAGGGUGCGUAGACGGCACUGCAAGUCUGAAGUGAAAGCCCGGGGCUUAACCCCGGGACUGCUUUGGAAACUGUAGGACUAGAGUGCAGGAGAGGCAAGCGGAAUUCCUAGUGUAGCGGUGAAAUGCGUAGAUAUUAGGAGGAACACCAGUGGCGAAGGCGGCUUACUGGACUGUAACUGACGUUGAGGCUCGAAAGCGUGGGGAGCAAACAGGAUUAGAUACCCUGGUAGUCCACGCCGUAAACGAUGAUUACUAGGUGUUGGUGGGUAUGACCCAUCGGUGCCGCAGCAAACGCAAUAAGUAAUCCACCUGGGGAGU
rnacentral:rRNA from 1 species